UGGGCGUGGUGAAACUACUUCAUUUCCUUUGAAAUUUCUUUAUCUUUGGUAUAGAAAUGAGCAACUCGAUGUUUGCUUACUCAUCCACCCAGUCAGAGAAGAGAAGAACGAAAUCCACAGUUAGAAUAGCUGUCUUCACGUGUGUCUUUUUCUGACAGCCAGACAAACUGUUCCCAGCCACCCAGGAAAACAUCUAAAAUUCUUCCCCUUCUAUAAGAAAGCGACGCCUGUACAGUGACCGCAACUCGCAAGGCAAGCAUACUUGUUCCCACUAAAGACUGCAAAGGAACAACUGCUUCUCACUAAGUUUCCUUACUCCUUUUCUCCUUUUCUAAAUCCAUCUUCACCCAACCACUUUUCUUAGCCGUUACAUGUCCCUGAGUUUGUGUCUGUAUGCCCUUAUAUUGGAGAAAUAUCCCAUGAGUAAACUUGUCAUGCACCCUUAACACCAAGCUGCUGCACCUGCAGCUGAGCCAGCUCCCUGCUCAACUGGCAGUGCAGUGACACAGGCUGGCGAUAUUACCACGGAGCACGAACUUCUUAUGAGACAGACAGAGAAAACCUUUUCAGAACCAUGGCAAGCCAAGAAGAAGCAAAGAGAAUGUAUGUGCCAGACAUGGCUUGCAAACUCCCAAUAUGAGCACCUGCUGUUGACAUUUGGAGAUCCACCCUAAAGACAAGUGCGAAGCCAUGAGGAAUAAACUGACAUAGGAACCCUGUUUUGUUAAUAUUUUUUAAAAUGAUAUAUCUGACUAACUACAUCUGCUUCUCACCAAGGUUUCGAAAAUGGUUUACAAACACAGGAGUCAUUUUUUAACAGGGUUAUAGUGAAACAGUAAGUAUAAUAAAAUUAAUAAAAUUCCAUUUUUUCUAUAAUUGACAAAAUAUGUUAUUGCUUAUGAUGUAAUAAUACAUUCUGGGACAGAUUUUUUUAGAUAAAUAAGAUGCAAGCAAUUUGAACUCAUCAUGAGUGACUGUUCUGUUGCUCCCAUGAGUAUAUUAAAAAUCUCAUCAAAACAGUGUUGGAUUUGAAUUACUGGAACAUGGAGAACUGUGUCUUUUUGCACCAAUGUAUGUUAGCCUUCACUAUGAAAGCCCCAAACCUAUGUUGAGCAAUUUAAAAAAAAAUGAUAGCACUCUACUUGAUUAGUGAUUUAGAAUCUUCUAGUAAGUACUGAAUUAAGCUGACAUUUCACCACAGAAGAAAAUAUAAUUAUUUUGAUUCUCUACAAUAUGAGACAAAUGAUUAAACAAAGGGUUUAAAAGGUUUCAUGUAUUAAAUUCAGCUUAGGAAUAAAAUUUUACAGGUAUAUACAUACAUGUGUUUGCCUGUAUAGGUCAAUGUGUUAUAAAAAUGUCUAACCAAAUCCUAUGAGAAAUAACCAAAAGUGAAGCUAUGGGAAGAUAGCCACACAUUUUAUCCAGAAACAGAACAGAUUGCCUUUUGUCCAUGAAAAGCCCACCAAGAGAACAGGUCCACUGUUAUGUAACAGGUAUAAAUUCCUUUGGGAGUAAGCAUAGAUUAGAAUUAGAUUCAAGCACAGAAUAUGCCAAACUUAGACUAAGGUCUUGAUACUUACACCUAUAUUCAGAUGUUCAUCCUUUCAAGGAGGUCACAUGUGAAUGAAUAUACGACCCAAGGGUUACUUUUUCAAGUGAGCCUAGUUUCUUGAAAACAUGACAUAAUGACUGACUGAUCCUCAACAAUGUAACUCCAUGGGGAAAUAUGGCCAAGGCUCAGCACAUUUUCUGAACACACAGAGAGAACUGAAUUUGCAAGGUGUGUCUUGAAGCAGAGAUAUUCGUUUGGCUGGAACAUAGUCUUUAACCAUGGUAGCUAGGUUGAUAUGAAAACAAUCAACCAUAUCUAAUACCUUUCACAGCACCCCAGACUCAUCAUUGCCUUUUCUUCAGACAAUCUGACAACUCAAAAUUUAGUCAGAGCCUCAAGUAGCUUCAAUUAUCUGGGCGGUAUACAAUUUACACUACACAUCUACAAAUGCAGGCCAGGAAUUUUAAUCUGUUACCCAUUUUUAAAGUAGUUAUUCAAUGAAAUAAGCAUUAAAAAUGAAGAGUUGACAGAUGUCAGAAUAAGAAUGGAGAUCACAACUUAGUAAUAUUUGUCUAAUAGCUUAUUUAUUUGUUUAGGAAUUAAUAACUUAUUUGAUUCUUUCAGAUUGGGACUGGAUCAUGAUCAUUCUCAAGCUUGAAAUGAUUGACGUAGAGAGCCUGAGAGAUAUGGAACUGUCUAAGGAGUGAUAUGUUUAAUUGAAUAUACAUAUUUAGAAUGUUGUGUAAAGAUACAGGUGUGUAUACACACACACACAUGCAGGUUUGGAACCUCACCUUUGAGAUUUCACUGUUUCCCAUUGGACUUUAUACCAUAGCAAAUGUGUGAAUGUGAAAAUUUCUCCUCCUUCUCUUAGUAUCUUAGCAAGAAUUUCUACUUCAGUGCUUUCCGGAAUGAUUCCUUCAGGUGUAAACUUACGAUUUUUAGAGUUUUUCGAAAUCAAACAUCUAAGAAAUGUAGCAUCUGAACAAUGGAAGUUUUUCAGUGGA
rnacentral:lncRNA from 1 species